rnacentral:rRNA from 1 species
GUCCAGCCGUAAACUUUAAAUUACCCCAUAUACCGCCAGGGAACUACGAGCUAAGCUUAAAACCCAAAGGACUUGACGGUACCCCAUGUCCCUCUAGAGGAGCCUGUCCUAUAAUCGAUAACCCCCGUUUAACCUCACCAUUUUUAGCUAAUCAGUUUGUAUACCUCCGUCGCCAGCUUACCACGUGAGCGAAGUAUAGUGAGCUUAAUGUCCACACGCCAACACGUCAGGUCAAGGUGCAACAAAUAAAAUGGAAAGAGAUGGGCUACACUUUCUAAUUUAGAAAAUACGAAAAACUAUUUAUGAAAUUCUAGUUUGAAGGCGGAUUUAGUAGUAAAAAGAAACCAGAGUGUUCUUUUUAACAAGGCCCUGGGGUGUGUACACACCGCCCGUCACCCUCUUCAAAGCUAUUUAUUAGUUAUUAACAAAUUUUUGCAUUAUAGAAGAGGCAAGUCGUAACAUGGUAAGUAUACCGGAAGGUGUGCUUGGAAU